rnacentral:lncRNA from 1 species
AGCAGCUAAAUAAUUGAUAGUGCUUUCUGUAGCACCCGGUUUUAAGAACAAAACCAGAUACACACCAUAUGUGAGCCCAGGAAGUCAAAUCUCACAUAUAGCCACAAAUAGGGGUAAUAUCAAUAGACAAUGCUUAUAUAUAACGAACUUAGUAUAAAAGAUAUAACCUUAGAUAGCAAACAACGGAAUGACACUCCGUUCUUCAGGCGAAAACUCCAAAUCCACAGGGACAACUGACUGGUUGAGCACAAGCCUAAACUCUUCUCCAAACUUGCAAGAUGGUACCCAUCCGGGAUUUUUAUCCAAAUAAAAUGUAAAGGCAAGCGUAAGUACAUCUCGUACUCAGCAAGAAUAACAUAGGGUUCAUGAGGCUCAAAGGCUAGACACUGGUUUAACUGUAUGUAGCUUUUAGUUGUCACAAUUUUAGCAUUUGAGUAGCAUCAAGUUGUCGAGUCCCAAAGCAAACUCA